UCUUAUGGAUGAGCAAAGAAAAUGGUUUCUUUAGAUGGAAUCUAUCCCUGGUUAAGAUGCUGUAAA
rnacentral:pre_miRNA from 1 species